UGGAGGGCAAGUCUGGUGCCAGCAGCCGCGGUAAUUCCAGCUCCAAUAGCGUAUAUUAAAGUUGUUGAGGUUAAAAAGCUCGUAGUCGAACCUUGGGCCUAGCCGGCCGGUCCGCCUCACCGCGUGCACUGGCUCGGCUGGGUCUUUCCUUCUGGAGAACCGCAUGCCCUUCACUGGGUGUGCCGGGGAACCAGGACUUUUACUCUGAACAAAUUAGAUCGCUUAAAGAAGGCCUAUGCUCGAAUACAUUAGCAUGGAAUAAUAGAAUAGGACGUGUGGUUCUAUUUUGUUGGUUUCUAGGACCGCCGUAAUGAUUAAUAGGGACAGUCGGGGGCAUCAGUAUUCAAUUGUCAGAGGUGAAAUUCUUGGAUUUAUUGAAGACUAACUACUGCGAAAGCAUUUGCCAAGGAUGUUUUCAUUAAUCAGGAACGAAAGUUAGGGGAUCGAAGACGAUCAGAUACCGUCGUAGUCUUAACCAUAAACUAUGCCGAUUAGGGAUCGGACGGCGUUAUUUUUUGACCCGUUCGGCGCCUUACGGGAAAC
rnacentral:rRNA from 1 species